rnacentral:tRNA from 1 species
AUUUAGAUAGCUUAACGAUAAAGCAUAAUAUUGAAGAUAUUAAGAUAAUGCAACAUUUUUUAAAUA